CCCACGUCUCUUCCCACCGCUGAGUCGCCGUUCAGUGGAUUUGCUCCACUGCCGAGUCGCCGGCCACCUCCCACCACCGGCCACCACGUUUUCUGCUCCUGUCAUCGAGAUUCCGUGGAUCGAUUGAGCUCCAAAUUAAAGAACAUUGAAGUGAUCACCGCUCUCGGAGAUUCGGGCCACCGGAAUCCGGGUCUUGAAGUUGAAAAUACCCAGAGCGCUUUCUUCCUAUGUGCAUGCCUUCUGCUGUUAACUGCUAACUCAGGCCUUUCUUCUUGUGCGAAACCAUAGCCGGCUUCACUUUUCUCACUUCAAUCCAACACUCUUAGUGAAAACCCAAUUCCCAAAACUAUCUGAGCACACCAAAGCUCUAUCAGAAAGGAAUUGGGGUGACCAUUGUUUGUCCUGGUCCAAUAGAAACAUCAAAUGGUACAGGUGCAGCAAGCUCAGAGAAUAAAGCUUCUUCUGAGAAGCGUGUGUCAUCAGAAAGGUGUGCAGAGUUGACAAUAAUUGCUGCCACCCAUGGUCUAAAGGAAGUUUGGAUAUCAUACCAGAUUAGCUGCUGCUUUGACAACUAUGGUGUUCCUCAGGGACAGUUGUUUGAAUUUCAAGUCCAUCUGAAUAGCAAUAGAGUAUUGAUGGGGAGUGAAGGUGACUCUGACUAACCUAUUUCAACAAAGCAUCAGCAUAAGUUCUCAGACUAUGCCUUCUGGAGAGAUCUCAAAGAAAGGUGCAAAGAGAGCCAAAAUGCAAGAUAAAGUUGCACAUGCAGUUGAUGUUUCAGCUAGGCAACAAAGGCAUAAUCCCAUGAGAAAUUCUGAAGCAAAUUUGAGUUCUUCGUCUCAUUUGCCAGCAGAUGCAGAACCUAUUUCAACUGAAGGUGAAGCUACAGAAAAGCCAAAAAUACCACCUAGAGGUAAAGCAAAAUUGUUGGACAUUAGCAAGAAAAAGAGAAAACGUCCUAUCCUGGUUGAAUUCAAUGAAAGAGGCCAGCCAAUUGGGAAAACUGCAGCUCUAUUCUCCUCAUUUAUUGGAUGCACAGCAAGAGAGCUAAUACCAAUGACU